rnacentral:ncRNA from 1 species
UUUCAGGUUCCUAUGUGAACAAUAGGGAAUCCUGUGAAAAUCAGGAGCUAUUCCCGUAGCUGUGAAGUUCUUACGUAAACCUUCGGCACCAUGUCACUGACAAUUCUCCAUUGUUGGGAAGACGUCGAAAGGCGGAACAAGCCAGAAGACCUGCCUGACACC